AGCCAGGUUGCAUUCUGGCAGGAGAGAGGCAAGCCAACCGGCCAGGACAGGCAAGGCGUAUUAAUUCCGUGCCUGCUGGACACCAGAGCCGUCCGCCUCAGUGCUGUGAGGUCAUCUGUUUUAAGAGUGUGGGAGUCAGUAGGGCAGAAGAGACACUUGGGCUGGAUCUUUCUUUUAAUUUCAUUUACAAAUAUUUGGGAGAGGGGAGGUCUUGAACUCCUCGGCCUCAAGCGAUCCUCCUGCCUCAGCAUCUAGAGUAACUAAGGAUUAAGGGCAUGAGCCACCACCAGGGCUAUGCACGGGAUCUUGGAGGAGCAGAAAAUCCCAGGGGCAAUUGGCUUGGCCGGGAGAGUAGACUGUUUUGGGUCAGGCCAACCCAAGCAUCUGGAGGUGUACGUGCUGGAAGGACAGUCAGAUGGUGUGUGUAGGAGAGAGGGGGAAGGCGCAGGGGAAGGCCUGGGGAAGCAGGCACCUGAACAACUGUCCCACAAAGCAGAAACAUCAUGGGCUUCAGAGGCAGGCGGUGCAGGACAGUUCUCCCAGUGGCCUUGAACUGACCUGGUUCUCCCCUCCUUUCUUGCUUGUAGUUCUCAAGAAUAACUGUAGACGCCUGUAAUCCCAGCACUUUGGGAGGCCGAGGCGGGCAGAUCACUUGAGAUCAGAAGUUCAAGACCAGCCUAGCCAACAUGCUGAAACCCCGUCUUUACCAAAAAUACAAAAAUUAUCCAAGCGUGGUGGUGGGCACCUGUAAUCCCAGCUACACGGGAGGCUGAGCAGGGAGAAUCCCUCGAACCUGGGAGGCGGAGGUUGCAGUGAGCUGAGACAGUGCCACUGCACUCCAGCCUGGGUGAUGGAGCAAGACUGUCUCAAUAAAUAAAUAAAUAAAACUGUAGAGUGUGCAGAGAAUGCAACAUCCUGAGGGAAGGAAGGACUGGCCAGCACAGCCAUGCUCUGUUCCAGUCCCCCUAGAAAAAGCAUGUCCUUCAACACUUCAGCCCAACAUGUCACAUGGCCCCAGGGUAUAAAGCCCAGGGCAGAAGCCGGGCGCGGUGGCUUACUCCUGUAAUCCCAGCACUUUGGGAGGCCGAUGCGGGCGGAUCAUAAGGUCAGGAGAUUGAGACCAUCCUGGCUAACACGGUGAAACCCCGUUUUUACUAAAAAUACAAAAAACUAGCCAGGUGUGGUGGUGCGUGCCAGUAGUCCCAGCUACCCGGGAGGCUGAGGCAGGAGAAUUGCUUGAACCUGGGAGGCGGAAGUUGCAGUGAGCCCAGAUGGCGACACUGCACUCCAGCCUGGGAGACAGAGUGAGACUCUGUAUCAAACAAACAAACAAACAAACGAAAAACAGGGCGGGCUGGUUUCUGGGGUCCCUCAGCUUCAGUACAAGUCUGGCUGGCUGGGCGUGGUGGCCCAUGCCUGUUAUCACAACACUUUGGGAGGCCGAGGCGGGUGGAUCACCUGAGGUCAGAAGUUCAAGACCAGCCUGGCCAACAUGGCGAAACUGUUUCUACUAAAAAAAAAAAAAAUAGCUGGACGUGGUAGUGCACGCCUGUAAUCCCAGCUACCAGGGAGGCUGAGGCAGGAAAAUUGCUUGAAUCCCAGGGUUCACACCACUGCACUCCAGCCCGGGUGAAAGAGCGAGACUCCAUCUCACAACAAACCAACAACAAAAAAAAAAGUCAGGCAUGCACAGACAACGGUCCAUCCCCCAGCUGCCUCAGCAGCUUUCCUGAGCCGUAGGGGUCCAGCUCCAAAUGAAUCCCAGCCUUCUGUUGUCCCUUAGUGCCUACCUAUAGGUAAUAAACACGUUGCAUGUCACUUGUGUUUGCCUCGCUGGACUCAGCGUUAUGUAACUUGUGGGUGUUUGCCUCACUGGACUCUGACAAGUUGGUAACUAGUGUGCAGUGAACCUGCCUAACAGACAGCUGGGUUCUGAUCCAGCUGUGUGACCUUGAGCAAGAUACGGAACCUCCCUGAGUUUCUGUUGGGUCAUUGGUGAAGUGGGACCAAUGGCUACUUGAAAGGAUUGUUGGGAAGAUUUGGAGAGAAAAUAAUGUGAAAGUACCUAGCACAGAGCCUGGUACUGAAAAUACCUUAAACCUAUGUUCAUUUCUUAAAAAGUCAAGAGGAGGCUGCUGCUGCCUUGGGCAGGCACGCUGGGAGGUAAGGGGGCAGGCACGCUGCGAGGUAAGGGGGCAGGCGCGCUGCGAGGUAAGGGGGCAGGCGCGCUGGGAGGUAAGGGGGCAGGCGCGCUGCGAGGUAAGGGGGCAGGCGCGCUGGGAGGUAAGGGGGCAGGCGCGCUGCGAGGUAAGGGGGCAGGCGCGCUGCGAGGUAAGGGGGCAGGCGCGCUGGGAGGUAAGGGGGCAGGAGCGCUGCGAGGUAAGGGGGCAGGCGCGCUGCGAGGUAAGGGGGCAGGCGCGCUGGGAGGUAAGGGGGCAGGCAGGAGGCAAGUUUCCAUUCCUGUGAACUGGGAAUCUAUGUGCCUUUUGGAACCCAGCUGUUUUUAUUUCUUGGGUCAAGGUACAACCUGCUUUAUCUGGCCCUGCCUACGAGGGAUGCCCCAGGUUCACCAAUCAAAACAAAUAAAAACUAAAAAUGAGGUUGGUUGGGGAGGAAGGGGGCUGGGAGAUGGGAGAUAAUAGUUAAAGAGUAUGGGGUUUCUUUCUUAGGUGAUGACAAUAUUUAAAAUUGACUGUGGUGAUAGUUACACAUAUUUGUGAAUAUACUAAAGACCACUGAAUUCUAUACUUUAAAUGGUAGAUUGUCCCAGCACUUUGAGAGACUGAGGCAGGAGGAUUGCUUGAGCCCAUGAGUUCUAGACCAGCCUAGGCAACAUAGCAAGAUCCUGUGUCUAUGUUUAAAAAUUAGUUAAGACAUGGUGGCACAUUCCUACAGUCCCAGCUACUCAGGAGGCUGAGGUGGGAGGACUGCUUGAGCCCAGGAGUUCGAGGCUGCAGUGAGCUAUGAUCAUGUCGCUACAGUGAGUCACUGCACUCCAGCACGGGUGACGGAAUGAGAUCCUGUCUCUAGAAAAUGGGGGAGGUGGGAGUGAACUGGAGAGUAUGUGAAUUACAUCUCAAUCAAGCUGUUAUACAUAUAUAAAAAGAAUACUUCUUGCUAGACUAAUCUGGCAACAAUGUGAAAAAGAAUUAAAUUAGAGUAGCUUAAAAAUAAAAAAUUGGGGCCAGGCGCAGUGGUUCAUGCCUGUAAUCCCAGCACUUUGGUAGGCUGAGGCAGGCGGAUUGCUUGAGGUCAGGAGUUUGAGGACCAGCCUGGCCAACAUGGUAAAACCUCGCCUCUACUAAAAAUACAAAAGUUAGUUGGGUGUGGUGGUGGGUAUCUGCAAUCCCAGUUACUUGGGAGGGUGAGGAAGGAGAAUCACUUGAAUUAGGGAGGCAGAGGUUGCAGUGAGCUGAGAUCGCAUGACUACACUCCAGCCUGGGUGACAGGGCAAGACUCUGUCUCAAAAAACAAGAACAACAACAAAAAUGGGUUGGUAUCUCAAAGGGAUACCAAGGGUGAGGGUUAAAUUAAGUAGAUAAUCCACAUCAAGGUGCUCUGCACUCUCAAUGACAAGGAAUAGGACGUCUGAAAGUGCUAGUUCCCCUCAGUGUCUUCCCUUCUCCAUCCUGUAGUAGCUGCCAAGAGAGCCCACCAGCAAGAAGCCAAAGAAAACAGAAGCUCUUUAUGCCAAAUCACAAGGACAGACAGGGGAAUGUGGGGGA
rnacentral:lncRNA from 1 species